CGGCGAGCGAACGGGGAGCAGCCCAGAGUCUGAAUCAGCUUGUGUGUUAGUGGAACGGUCUGGAAAGUCCGGCGAUACAGGGUGAUAGUCCCGUACACGAAAACACACUUGCUGUGAACUCGAAGAGUAGGGCGGGACACGUGGUAUCCUGUCUGAAUAUGGGGGGACCAUCCUCCAAGGCUAAAUACUCCUGACUGACCGAUAGUGAACCAGUACCGUGAGGGAAAGGCGAAAAGAACCCCGGCGAGGGGAGUGAAAAAGAACCUGAAACCGUGUACGUACAAGCAGUGGGAGCCUACUUGUUAGGUGACUGCGUACCUUUUGUAUAAUGGGUCAGCGACUUAUAUUCUGUAGCAAGGUUAACCGUAUAGGGGAGCCGAAGGGAAACCGAGUCUUAACUGGGCGUUAAGUUGCAGGGUAUAGACCCGAAACCCGGUGAUCUAGCCAUGGGCAGGUUGAAGGUUGGGUAACACUAACUGGAGGACCGAACCGACUAAUGUUGAAAAAUUAGCGGAUGACUUGUGGCUGGGGGUGAAAGGCCAAUCAAACCGGGAGAUAGCUGGUUCUCCCCGAAAGCUAUUUAGGUAGCGCCUCGUGAAUUCAUCUUCGGGGGUAGAGCACUGUUUCGGCUAGGGGGCCAUCCCGGCUUACCAACCCGAUGCAAACUACGAAUACCGAAGAAUGUUAUCACGGGAGACACACGGCGGGUGCUAACGUCCGUCGUGAAGAGGGAAACAACCCAGACCGCCAGCUAAGGUCCCAAAGUCAUGGUUAAGUGGGAAACGAUGUGGGAAGGCACAGACAGCCAGGAUGUUGGCUUAGAAGCAGCCAUCAUUUAAAGAAAGCGUAAUAGCUCACUGGUCGAGUCGGCCUGCGCGGAAGAUGUAACGGGGCUAAACCAUGCACCGAAGCUGCGGCAGCGACACUAUGUGUUGUUGGGUAGGGGAGCGUUCUGUAAGCCGUUGAAGGUGGCCUGUGAGGGUUGCUGGAGGUAUCAGAAGUGCGAAUGCUGACAUAAGUAACGAUAAUGCGGGUGAAAAGCCCGCACGCCGGAAGACCAAGGGUUCCUGUCCAACGUUAAUCGGGGCAGGGUGAGUCGACCCCUAAGGCGAGGCCGAAAGGCGUAGUCGAUGGGAAACAGGUUAAUAUUCCUGUACUUGGUGUUACUGCGAAGGGGGGACGGAGAAGGCUAUGUUAGCCGGGCGACGGUUGUCCCGGUUUAAGCAUGUAGGCGG
rnacentral:rRNA from 1 species